GGAAAUGUGGCUUAGUGGUAGAGUGUUUGCCUAGCAUGCAUGAAGCCCUGGGUUCAAUUCCUCAGUACCA
rfam:Dipodomys ordii contig_71844, whole genome shotgun sequence.